AUCUGGCAUUUGAUGAAUCUGAUCUAACAAAUGGGUAAUUUGCAUCUGAAUUUCAUUGAUGCUAUAUCACCUUGGAGAACUGAUGCCUCAU